AACCACAACAAAAGCGGAAAAGGAUGCGGUGGAUAGAGUGAACUGAAGUGCUCCUUGCAGCCGAAACGGUAAACAGCUAGAGAGGAGGAUAACCGGUAACGAGUAACCAGUAUCCAGUUACCGGUAAACGUUAACCGUUAACCGGCACCUGUAAAUAUUUGGAAGCCCACAGGAAACUUAUGCACGUUACAGAGGACGACUAAGCCAAGUCUGAUUAAACCGAUAAAGCUCUUGUCAAUUUUGAGCACUAACAAGCGGUUAAAGGCAAAGCCAGCAGC